CCAAUCAAAGCGGUGUAGUAACUAAGUAAUAUAAUAAAUGAGCUUACAGUGCUAAAAUUGCUCUAAAUGUUAGGCUUCUGCAAAUGAUCCAUUGGACUGAGAAAUGAAUUUUAUUUUAAUUUUACCUUUCACAUUUUGGUAAUAUUUACAAACUUUUAUGUGUAGCCCUGUGGAUCCUGGUUAACAAGUAGUGGUGUGGUCACCAGGUCAGCGGUAACUCCAAUUGUUGAGCUAUUGGAAGCUGGAUUUGUACCAAUUUUGCAUGGUGACUGUGUACUGGAUGAUGUUCAGGGCUGCUCUAUACUAAGUGGAGACAAAAUUAUUCAGAGGUUAGCAGAAGAGCUUCGUCCAAAAAGAGUUGUAUUUUUGACAGAUGUUGAUGGAAUAUAUGACAAACCCCCUGAAAAAGAAGAUUCAGUGUUGCUUCGAAAAGUGUACGUUAAAUCAGAUGGACAAAUGAAUGUUACCAUAGCGACAUCAAACCUUCAUCAUGACGUCACCGGCGGGAUUCGCGAGAAGCUUCAAACAGCGUCCAAUAUAAUUCGUAUUUCUGAACAGCAUUCGCGCGUCUUUGUGUUAAAUAUAAUGUCCGAAACUGUUGCAUAUUCUGUCUGUAGUCGGGGAGUUUUGGACGGAAAUGGUACAGAAAUAUUGGCAGAAACUCAAGAGUUCAACAGAGUAAACAUUCAGUGACAUGCGUGUGUGAGAUUAUUGCACAUUACUUAUAAAUUUAAUUCGUCACCUUCAAAUGUUGGAAAACACAAACGUCACCAACUGUCAAGUUGAUGCUCAUGGAUCCUCGCACUGCCCCAUGUGCAUGCAGGAUAUUCGCACUCACAAUUUUUGUUGUGUGGCAUAACAAACGUACGUUAUAUACCAGUAGUCAGGGAGAUCUUAGGCAAGCCCUUAGUUUGUAAUAAAGUUCAUGAAGCGGAGAAGAAA